rnacentral:misc_RNA from 1 species
AACGCACGAGACCUGCGGACCUGCGGAAGGAUCAUUACCGAGUUUUCAACUCCCAAACCCCUGUGAACAUACCAUUUUGUUGCCUCGGCGGUGCCUGUUCCGACAGCCCGCCAGAGGACCCCAAACCCAAACUUCCUUGAGUGAGUCUUCUGAGUAACCGAUUAAAUCAAUCAAAACUUUCAACAACGGAUCUCU